GUAGGUGGCAAGCGUUGUCCGGAAUUAUUGGGCGUAAAGCGCGCGCAGGCGGUCCUUUAAGUCUGAUGUGAAAGCCCACGGCUCAACCGUGGAGGGUCAUUGGAAACUGGGGGACUUGAGUGCAGGAGAGAAGAGUGGAGUUCCACGUGUAGCGGUGAAAUGCGUAGAGAUGUGGUGGAACACCAGAGGCGAAGGCGACUCUUUGGCCUGUAACUGACGCUGAGGCGCGAAAGCGUGGGGAGCAAACAGGAUUAGAUACCCUGGUAGUCCACGCCGUAAACGAUGAGUGCUAAGUGUUAGAGGGUUUCCGCCCUUUAGUGCUGCAGUAAACGCAUUAAGCACUCCGCCUGGGGAGUACGGCCGCAAGGCUG
rnacentral:rRNA from 1 species